GCUUUUCAGUAGUUUACUACAGAAAAUGACUGAGCGGCGAACGGGUGAGUAACGCGUGAGCAAUCUACCUUAGUUACUGGGAUAGCCCGAGGAAACUCGGAUUAAUACCGGAUAUUCUUAUUUUUUCACAUGAAGUUUUAAGGAAAGGUCAGCCGAACUAAGAUGAGCUCGCGUUCUAUCAGCUAGUUGGUGGGGUAAAAGCCUACCAAGGCUACGACGGAUAGCUGGUCUGAGAGGACGAUCAGCCACACUGGGACUGAGACACGGCCCAGACUCCUACGGGAGGCUGCAGCAGGGAAUAUUGCGCAAUGAGCGAAAGCUUGACGCAGCGACACCGCGUGUGGGAUGACGGUUCUAGGAUUGUAAACCACUUUCAGGAGGGAAGAAAAUGACGGUACCUCCACAAGAAGACCCGGCCAACUACGUGCCAGCAGCCGCGGUAAUACGUAGGGGUCAAGCGUUGUCCGGAUUUAUUGGGCGUAAAGAGCUCGUAGGCGGUUCAACAAGUCGGUCGUAAAAGUUUAGGGCUCAACCCUAAAAUGUCGAUCGAUACUGUUGUGACUAGGAUACGGUAGAGGUGAAUGGAAUUCCGAGUGUAGCGGUGAAAUGCGUAGAUAUUCGGAGGAACACCAAUUGCGAAGGCAGUUCACUGGACCGUGAUCGACGCUGAGGAGCGAAAGCUAGGGGAGCAAACAGGAUUAGAUACCCUGGUAGUCCUAGCUGUAAACGAUGGAUACUAGAUGUAGGAACUGGAUUGACGGUUUCUGUAUCGUAGCUAACGCGUUAAGUAUCCCGCCUGGGGAGUACGGUCGCAAGACUAAAACUCAAAGGAAUUGACGGGACCCCGCACAAGCGGCGGAGCAUGCGGCUUAAUUCGAUGAUACCCGUAGAACCUUACCUGGACUUGACAUAUAGGGAAAAGCUAAAGAAAUUUAGUGUGCGUAAGCGCCCUAUACAGGUGGUGCAUGGCUGUCGUCAGCUCGUGUCGUGAGAUGUUGGGUUAAGUCCCGCAACG
rnacentral:rRNA from 1 species